GAUAACGGAGCGAAAGCUUUGCUAAUACCGCAUACGAUCUACGGAUGAAAGCAGGGGACCGCAAGGCCUUGCGCUCAUGGAGCGGCCGAUGGCAGAUUAGGUAGUUGGUGGGAUAAAGCUUACCAGCGACGAUCUGUAGCUGGUCUGAGAGGGUGACCGGCCACAUUGGGACUGAGACACGGCCCAAACUCCUACGGGAGGCAGCAGUGGGGAAUAUUGCACAAUGGGGGAAACCCUGAUGCAGCGACGCCGCGUGAGCGAAGAAGUAUUUCGGUAUGUAAAGCUCUAUCAGCAGGGAAGAAGGAUAGAGGUAGUAACUGGCCUUUAU
rnacentral:rRNA from 1 species